rnacentral:rRNA from 1 species
GAUGAACGCUGGCGGCGUGCCUAAUACAUGCAAGUCGAGCGAACGGACGAGAAGCUUGCUUCUCUGAUGUUAGCGGCGGACGGGUGAGUAACACGUGGAUAACCUACCUAUAAGACUGGGAUAACUUCGGGAAACCGUAGCUAAUACCCGAUAAUAUUUUGAACCGCAUGGUUCAAAAGUGAAAGACGGUCUUGCUGUCACUUAUAGAUGGAUCCGUGCUGCAUUAGCUAGUUGGUAAGGUAACGGCUUACCAAGGCAACGAUGCAUAGCCGACCUGAGAGGGUGGUCGGCCACACUGGAAGUGAGGCACGGUCCAGACUCCUGAGGGAGGCAGCAGUAGGAAAUCUUACGCGAUGGGGGAAAGGGUGACGGAGCAACGCGGCGUGAGUGAUGAAGGUCUUAGGAUCGUAGAACUCUGUUAUUAGGGAAGAACAUAUGUGUAAGUAAAUGUGCACAUCUUGACGGUACCUAAUCAGAAAGCCACGGCUAACUACGUG